CGUCCCGGGGCCGCUCGAGGCA
rnacentral:miRNA from 1 species